UACGUAGGGUGCGAGCGUUGUCCGGAAUUAUUGGGCGUAAAGAGCUCGUAGGCGGUGUGUCACGUCGGCCGUGAAAACCUGGGGCUUAACUCUGGGCGUGCGGUCGAUACGGGCAUCACUAGAGUUCGGCAGGGGAGACUGGAAUUCCUGGUGUAGCGGUGAAAUGCGCAGAUAUCAGGAGGAACACCGGUGGCGAAGGCGGGUCUCUGGGCCGAUACUGACGCUGAGGAGCGAAAGCAUGGGUAGCGAACAGGA
rnacentral:rRNA from 1 species